rnacentral:ncRNA from 1 species
UAGAGAAAGUACCUCGAGGGAAUGUUGUAAACUUUGGUUGGGGUGACCUCGGAGCAUAAAACAACCUCCCAAUGAAUAUAACCCAGAUUAACCAAUCUAAGUGUAACAAUACCAGUAAUUGACCCAUCUCUUGAUCAGAACAAGUUACCCCAGGGAUAACAGCACAAUCCUAUUUGAGAGCCCAUAUUGAAAAUUAGGGUUUACAACCCUGAUGUUGGAACAGGACAUCCAAAUGGUGCAACUGCUAUUAAAGGUUCAUUUGUUCAACAAUUAAAGUCCUAAGUGAUCUGAGUUCAGACGGGAGAAAUCCAGGUCGGUUUCUAUCU